rnacentral:rRNA from 1 species
CCUACGGGAGGCAGCAGUAAGGAAUAUUGGUCAAUGGACGCAAGUCUGAACCAGCCAUGCCGCGUGAAGGAUUAAGGCCCUCUGGGUUGUAAACUUCUUUUAUAGGGGACGAAAAAAGGGCAUUCUUGCUCACUUGACGGUACCCUAGGAAUAAGCACCGGCUAACUCCGUGCCAGCAGCCGCGGUAAUACGGAGGGUGCAAGCGUUAUCCGGAUUUACUGGGUUUAAAGGGUGCGUAGGUGGGUUGGUAAGUCAGUGGUGAAAUCUUCGAGCUUAACUCGGAAACUGCCAUUGAUACUAUCAAUCUUGAAUCAUCUAGAGGUAAGCGGAAUAUGUCAUGUAGCGGUGAAAUGCUUAGAUAUGACAUAGAACACCAAUUGCGAAGGCAGCUUACUAUGGAUGUAUUGACACUGAGGCACGAAAGCGUGGGGAUCAAACAGGAUUAGAUACCCUGGUAGUCCACGCCCUAAACGAUGGAUACUCGACAUUUGUGAUAUACUAUAAGUGUCUGAGCGAAAGCAUUAAGUAUCCACCUGGAAGUACGACCGCAAGGUUGAAACUUAAAUGAAAUUGACGG